rnacentral:rRNA from 1 species
GUGUGUGGCCACACCACCUUAACAGUGCUCUGUUCUGAGAAGCUAAGCAGGGUUGGGCCUAGUUAGUAUUGGGAUGGGAGACUUCUAGGAAAACCAGGUGCCCCACAGA